GACGAACGCUGGCGGCGUGCCUAAUACAUGCAAGUCGAACGCAGUGGGGACGGGUGAGUAACACGUGGGAAACCUCGCAUCAGAGGGGAUAACACUUGGAAACAGGUGCUAAAGUGAUACUGAUGGAUGAACUCGCGGUGCAUUAGGGAGUUGGGGAGGUACGGGCUCACCAAGGCCACGAUGCAUAGCCGACCUGAGAGGGGGAUCGGCCACACUGGGACUGAGACACGGCCCAGACUCCUACGGGAGGCAGCAGUAGGGAAUCUGCGGCAAUGGACGAAAGGCUGACCGAGCAACGCCGCGUGAGUGAAGAAGGUUUUCGGAUCGUAAAACUCUGUUGUUAGAGAAGCGGUAUCUAACCAGAAAGCCACGGCUAACUACGUGCCAGCAGCCGCGGUAAUUC
rnacentral:rRNA from 1 species